GAAGGUAUGGCUCAUUGAUAGAGUGGGUGCUUAGCAUGCAGGAGGCCCUAGGUUCAAUCCCCAGUACCUCUA
rnacentral:tRNA from 1 species